rnacentral:rRNA from 4 species
UACUAGAAUAUUAAAAGUUAUGGCCUUUAAAUUUAAAAAAUUUGGCGGUGUUUUAGUCUAGUUAGAGGAACCUGUUUUAUAAACGAUACAACACGCAUUAUUUUACUUAUUUUAGUGGAGCAGUUUGUAUACCGUCAUUAUAAGAUAAUUUAGGAGAAAAUAUUAUUGAAAUCAUAUUUGUGAGUAUAUUAGAUCAAGGUGCAGCUUAUGGAUAAGUAAAUAUGGGUUACAAUAAAAUUAAUUUAAUAUGAAUUAAGUAUUUAAAUAUAUUUAUGAAGGAGGAUUUAAUUGUAAGGGAAGGAGUAGUGAGAUUUUCUGAUAAAAGCUCUAAAUUAUGUACAUAUCGCCCGUCGCUC